UGUUGGUGCUGUUGCCGAAAGUUCCCUGCGCUAGGCCAUUCUCAGUGAGGAGUACUCGGACAGAGCCUCCACACAGUGUGACUGAAAGCACCCCUCCCUCUAGCAGCUCCCUACCCCGACUGCCGGAUAACUGGUUCCUCCUUCCCCACUUUAUUAUUUGUACUGCUUGGAUAAGUCUAUGGCAGAGACUAGUCCCUUCCAUAAGUCUAGGGCUGAUCUGUCUACCUCCCACCUCCCCAUGCUAGUAGCCCAAUGCAGUGCUCCUCCGUGCUGCCCAGCAUCUAUCCUGUCACUCAGUAUACACCCAGAAACGCCCACUUCAUGUGGCUGCACUGUAGCACUGUGACCCCCCCAACACACACACUGUACAGUUGUGGGGGGUCACAUAGGGAAAUGCAGACAGUGCUUAUCGGGAGCCGGCGCCGGCCUCAUCACAGAGUCAGAGCUGCAGAGAGGCCCCACCUCCUGUCCUCAUUGCUCAGCCUCUCAUAGAUGGUGGCUGCUUGAAACGGACGCCGGGGCUGGUUACAACAAUUCUCUUCUCCUCCCACCGAACAGGCCACACAGCAUUGCAAGGGUGAGGUAGAGAUCGCUCUCAGCAGCCAUGAAGAUAACAAUGCCUGAUCCCAGCAGCAACAUCAGCCAGAGCUGAGGGUCUGCUCAGGAAACUGCUGUGUGAGAGUGUGGUGCUGCAACAAGUCUGCAGACCAGGAAAGGAUCACCAGCACAACCCCAGUGUCAGCAGUCGAAUCUCAUAUACUCCACCGAAUUCUAGCCACGGAAGGUGCUCACUCACUCAUAUAUCUUCAUAGGAGAUUACAAGACACAUCACCCUUAAGAGGAAAAGACAGACGCUUCACAAAUUAGAGUCUUACAUAAAAGAAUGGUGGCCACUGAUACCUCAGUAUAUGACCACAUCAGUUGGCAAAACAUGAUAGCUGUACGGACUCUGGCUGAAGACGUCAACUUGCAGUGCAGCAAAGGGGUGGGUGUCCAGUUCCAAUCCUGAUGCUGACAUUCACGGGUGGGGUUUUGCUUAUAUAAAGGUAUGUGUAUGUGUUUGUUGA